rnacentral:rRNA from 1 species
UCUCGUAUCUAAGCCAUGCAAGUCGAGGGGGCUUCGCAAGAAGUCACCGGCGAAAUGCUCAGUAACACGUCAAUAAUCUGCCUUAUGGUGGAGGAUAAUCUCGGGAAACUGAGUCUAAUACUCCAUAGAAGAUUAUAACUGGAAUGUUUUUUCUUUGAAAACUACGGUGCCAUAGGAUGAGUUGGUGGCUGAUUAGGUAGUUGGUGAGGUAAAGUAUCUCUUAAGGAGAUAAUUAAAAGUCCUUGGAGUUUUAUAUGCUCACCAAGCCUCAGAUCAGUACGGGCCUUGAGAGAGGUAGCCCGGAGAAGGACACUGAGAUAAGGGUCCUAGCCCUAAGGGGUGCAGCAGGCGGGAAACCUUUACACUACACGAAAGUGUGAUAAGGGGAUCCUAAGUGCUCGCUUUCGAGUGAGCUUUUAUCAAGUGUAAAAAUCUUGAAGAAUAAGUGGUGGGAAAGACCGGUGCCAGCAGCCGCGGUAACCCCGGCGCCACAAGUGGCAAUCAUAUUUAUUGGGUCUAAAGCGUUUGUAGCCGAUCUAUUAAGUCUUUUGUUAAAUUGUUAUGCUUAACAUAACAGCCGCAAAGGAUACUGGUAGGUUAGGGAUCGGGAGGAGACAGAAGUACUCUUUGGGUAGCGGUAAAAUGUGAUAAUCCUUAGAGGACUACCUAUGGCGAAAGCAUCUGUCUAGAACGAAUCCGACGGUGAGGAACGAAAGCCAGGGGAGCAAAAGGGAUUAGAUACCCCUGUAGUCCUGGCCAUAAACUCUGCGAACUAUGUGUUGCAUAUUCCUCGAGAAUGUGCAGUGUCGGAGCGAAGAUGUUAAGUUCGCCACCUGGGAAGUACGAUCGCAAGAUUGAAACUUAAAGGAAUUGGCGGGGGCGCGCUACAAGGAGAGGAACGUGCGGUUUAAUCUGAUUCUACACCGAGAACCUCACCAGAAACGACGGCAGAAUGAAGGUCAGAUUGAAGGUUUUACCUGACAAGCCGAGAGGUGGUGCAUGGCCAGAGCAUAAGUGGU